CAAUAAGCGGAGGAAAAGAAACCAACAGGGAUUGCCCCAGUAACGGCGAGUGAAGCGGCAACAGCUCAAAUUUGAAAUCUGGCCUCGGCCCGAGUUGUAAUUUGCAGAGGAUGUUUCUGGCGCGGUGCCUUCUGAGUUCCCUGGAACGGGACGCCAUAGAGGGUGAGAGCCCCGUACGGUUGGACGCCUAGCCUGUGUGAAACUCCUUCGACGAGUCGAGUAGUUUGGGAAUGCUGCUCAAAAUGGGAGGUAUAUCUCUUCUAAAGCUAAAUACCGGCCAGAGACCGAUAGCGCACAAGUAGAGUGAUCGAAAGAUGAAAAGCACCUUGAAAAGGGGGUUAAACAGCACGUGAAAUUGUUGAAAGGGAAGCGCCCAUGACCAGACUUGUGCCCGGCGGAUCACCCAGCGUUCUCGCUGGGGCACUCCGCCGGGUCCAGGCCAGCAUCGGUUUUCGCCGGGGGAUAAAGGCUCUGGGAACGUAGCUCCUCCGGGAGUGUUAUAGCCCUCUGCGUAAUACCCUGGCGGGGACCGAGG
rnacentral:rRNA from 1 species